rnacentral:rRNA from 1 species
UGUUAAGGCUAGGGGGUCAUCCCGACUUACCAACCCUUUGCAAACUCCGAAUACCAAUGAGUGAUAUGCGGGAGACACACUACGGGUGCUAACGUCCGUUGUGAAGAGGGAAACAACCCAGACCGCCAGCUAAGGUCCCAAAGUACUAGUUAAGUGGGAAACGAUGUGGAAAGGCAUAGACAGCUAGGAGGUUGGCUUAGAAGCAGCCAUCCUUUAAAGAAAGCGUAAUAGCUCACUAGUCGAGUCGGUCUGCGCGGAAGAUGUAACGGGGCUAAACUAGUCACCGAAGCUGCGGAUUUGAACUUAGGUUCAAGUGGUAGGGGAGCGUUCUGUAAGCCGUUGAAGGUGUGUUGUAAAGCAUGCUGGAGGUAUCAGAAGUGCGAAUGCUGACAUGAGUAACGAUAAGGGGAGUGAAAAACUCCCCCGCCGAAAGACCAAGGUUUCCUGUCCCAUGUUAAUCAGGGCAGGGUAAGUCGGCCCCUAAGGCGAGGCGGAAACGCGUAGUCGAUGGGAAACAGAUUAAUAUUUCUGUACUUCUAUAUAUUGCGAAGGAGGGACGGAGUAGGCUAGGUGAGCACGGCGUUGGUAGUCCGUGUGAAAGAUUGUAGGCUGGAAACUUAGGUAAAUCCGGGUUUCCUUAAGGCUGAGAGUCGAGACGAGAUUCUACGGAAUUGAAGUCAUUGAUGCCAUGCUUCCAGGAAAAGCUUCUAAGCUUCAGAUAUAUAGGAACCGUACCCCAAACCGACACAGGUGGUUAGGUAGAGAAUACUAAGGCGCUUGAGAGAACUCGGGUGAAGGAACUAGGCAAAAUAGUACCGUAACUUCGGGAGAAGGUACGCUACUCAUGGUGAUGGAACUUGCUUCCUAAGCUAAGAGUAGUCGAAGUAACCAGGUGGCUGGAACUGUUUAUUAAAAACACAGCACUGUGCAAAAUCGAAAGAUGACGUAUACGGUGUGACGCCUGCCCGGUGCCGGAAGGUUAAUUGAUUGGGUUAGCUCUGCGAAGCUCAUGAUCGAAGCCCCGGUAAACGGCGGCCGUAACUAUAACGGUCCUAAGGUAGCGAAAUUCCUUGUCGGGUAAGUUCCGACCUGCACGAAUGGCGUAAUCAUGGCCACACUGUCUCCACCCGAGACUCAGUGAAAUUGAAAUUGCGGUUAAGAUGCCGUAUACCCGCGGCUAGACGGAAAGACCCCGUGAACCUUUACUAUAGCUUGACAGUGAACAUUGCUCCUACAUGUGUAGGAUAGGUGGGAGGCUUUGAAACCAUGUCGCCAGAUGUGGUGGAGCCAACCUUGAAAUACCACCCUUGUAUGCGUGAUGUUCUAACCUAGGGCCCUGAUCGGGCUUGGGGACACUGUCUGGUGGGUAGUUUGACUGGGGCGGUCUCCUCCCAAAGAGUAACGGAGGAGCACGAAGGUUGGCUAAGUACGGUCGGACAUCGUACGGUUAGUGCAAUGGCAUAAGCCAGCUUAACUGCGAGACAGACACGUCGAGCAGGUACGAAAGUAGGUCAUAGUGAUCCGGUGGUUCUG